rnacentral:rRNA from 1 species
GAUGAACGCUGGCGGCGUGCCUAACACAUGCAAGUCGAACGGAGAUUACGGACGGAAGUUUUCGGAUGGAAGACUGUAAUUCUUAGUGGCGGACGGGUGAGUAACGCGUGGGCAACCUGCCCUAUACAGGGGGAUAGCAGCUGGAAACGGCUGGUAAGACCGCAUAAGUCGGCGAGACCGCAUGGUUUUGCCGGGAAAUGAGCAAUCAGGUAUAGGAUGGGCCCGCGUCCGAUUAGCCAGUUGGCAGGGUAAAAGCCUACCAAAGCAACGAUCGGUAGCCGGACUGAGAGGUCGGACGGCCACAUUGGGACUGAGACACGGCCCAAACUCCUACGGGAGGCAGCAGUGGGGGAUAUUGCACAAUGGAGGAAGCUCUGAUGCAGCGACGCCGCGUGAGUGAAGAAGUAUUUCGGUAUGUAAAGCUCUAUCAGCAGGGAAGAUGAUGACGGUACCUGACUAAGAAGCCCCGGCUAACUACGUG